UUGAACGCUGGCGGCAGGCCUAACACAUGCAAGUCGAACGGUAACAGGAAGCAGCUUGCUGCUUUGCUGACGAGUGGCGGACGGGUGAGUAAUGUCUGGGAAACUGCCCGAUGGAGGGGGAUAACUACUGGAAACGGUAGCUAAUACCGCAUAACGACGCAAGACCAAAGAGGGGGACCUUAGGGCCUCUUGCCAUCGGAUGUGCCCAGAUGGGAUUAGCUAGUAGGUGGGGUAACGGCUCACCUAGGCGACGAUCCCUAGCUGGUCUGAGAGGAUGACCAGCCACACUGGAACUGAGACACGGUCCAGACUCCUACGGGAGGCAGCAGUGGGGAAUAUUGCACAAUGGGCGCAAGCCUGAUGCAGCCAUGCCGCGUGUAUGAAGAAGGCCUUCGGGUUGUAAAGUACUUUCAGCGGGGAGGAAGGGAGUAAAGUUAAUACCUUUGCUCAUUGACGUUACCCGCAGAAGAAGCACCGGCUAACUCCGUG
rnacentral:rRNA from 1 species